AGUCUUAUGAUUAAAUAUAAGAUUUUACCUGCCCGGUGUAUAAGUAAUUUAUUAACGGCCGCGGUACUUUGACCGUGCUAAGGUAGCGCAAUCAAUUGACUUUUAAUUGAAGUCAGGUAUGAAUGGAGUGACGGGGUUUAGCUGUCUCUUUUUUAAUUUAUUGAAAUUACUAUAAAGGUGAAAAAGCCUUUAAUUUAAAAAAAGACGAGAAGACCCUAAGAAUUUAACUUAUAAAGUUUUAUUAACUUAAUGGUUUGGUUGGGGCAACCAGGGAGCAAAUUAAAAUCUUUCAAUAAAAAUUUACCGAUUUUUAUAAAAUUAAAUAAAUUACCUUAGGGAUAACAGCACAAUUUGAUAUACAAGAUUAUGACCUCGAUGUUGGACUAGGGAAUUAAAAGGCUAGCCGCUUUUUAAAAUGGUUCUGUUCGAACUAUACCCU
rnacentral:rRNA from 1 species